GCUGCCAGUAGCCCAACGCAGGACACGCCCACGCCCUGAGAUAUAUUCGUCCUGCCGCUUUGAAAGGGUUAGCCGGGCCAUUAAUUGGGUUAUUCCCUACGGGUCUUACUAUGCGGCACUUGGAGUACUUGCGACAAAACUUGGCAUUUAUGUUGUUCUUGAAAUCGCUGAGGAUGAAGUUUCGCUUAAAGAUUUCUUGGCCAGUUGAAGCCGAUCCGUUCGAGAUAGACUCUAUAUCUGGGCGUCGUUUACGGCGUCUAGUUUUCGGGCUAUCCUAUAAUCUUGCCCGCUCAGGAACAUGUGUUGGCCAAACAUGGCAAAGUAUGGGGAGACACCAGUGCUGUUGUGGACGGCACUCCGCAGAGAACCUUGAAUCUCGACUAUCUUGUCAUCCCAACGUGUGUGGUCUUCCCCUACAU